UUCUCUAAUUAGUGUGGAAACGGGGGACCUAAUUCUUGUAUUCUGUGAAAACGGCUGUCAAGAAAGAUGUAAAACGUGAAAUAAGACGUCAAGAUGGCGAUAAAGACUAUCAGCACAGUGGAACAGAACAUGGUUGAUAAGUGAAUUCGGUUUUCAAUAUUUAUCUAAUGUAAGUUUAAAAUUUGAACGUGUUAUUCGAAAAGUUAUUGAUUCGAACGUCUUUGACCUGAGGAUGGCCCAUAGAAUGGGUUGAAAACGUUUGUUCAGCAGAAUAAAUGGGCUGUCUCAGUAUUAAGUAAACUUCGAAGUCGGAGUCGCCGAAGUCGAAAGAAUUUUAUGGACUCCGACUCCACUACAUUGCUGAGAGCAGUGGUGAUAUUCGAAAUAUUUAACAAAGGGUUUUCUAACAGAAAAUUUUUCCUUAAUUUUUUUUUCGAGUUGACUGACUGCCUGUGAGCAGUCAACUUGAGAAGAACCCGGAUAUUACACGCGAUGAUAAAACUGACAUAACUACGCGGUAAGUCACGAAC